CUUUAAAUACUGCAUUUUUGUAAAGUUCUGUAAAUGCAGCAUGGUUACAGUUUAACGGCUACUUAACCAAGUAUCGUUCAGUCUCCUCUUUAGAUGGCAUGAAGCUACUGCAUAAUUUGCUGCAGUUACUUUUUUCUUUUGGGCAAUAUUAAGACAAUCCAAAUGCUUUUAGUGGCAGAGUUGCAAUGAGAAGAUGACUAGGCCAACAAUUGAAAUUGGAAAUAUAAUUGCAGUCAUUUUGGAAUAGCCUUUAAGUGACUGCCAAAUCCUGGGAAAGACACCAUUUUCUGGGUUCUUUGUGCCAAGAGAACUUACUGCAGCAGGGAACACGUAGGUCCUUCUCCUGAGUGAUUUGAUUGUCUCAGCUCACACCAACAGCUUUUCUUUGUGCUUAUGGAGUUAAUAUGUUAGUAGAAAAUCAAUGGAACUUUUAGAAUGAAUAAUCAGAAAACAAAGCUAUCUUGUUCUGACUUUUCUUUCUUCCUUUUUUUUUGUUAGUUUGUUUUACUGACUUUAUUGUCAGCCUUGUCAAGGUGAGCUGUGUGUGAUGCGAUUCUUUUGUGUUCUUUCUCUAAUAAUGUGCCAACAUGUGUUUUUCAGAGGCUUUGUGAUGCCUUUUUGCUGCUGUUUCUGCUGUACAUCAGAGGUUAUUGUUUGCCUCUUCAGCAUUUCCUUUCUAGAUUAUGUGCAAAUUAAGAGAACAAAAAUUAUAUUCUUAGUAUUGCAGUUGGUCGUAAAUUCUCCAGGAAAGGUAAUUCUUGACAGAAAGCAAUUGAAUUUGGCAGUUGGUGAAGGAUGCUGUAGUGGGGGACACUUUUGUACAAGUCUGUGGAAUCCAAAGUCUAAAGUUGCUUCUGCCUGGGGUCAAGCACCGAAAAUCAUAUUACACACAGACCAAGGAAGAUUUUUUUGCAAAAUGCUGUGUCCUGCCACAGAAACAUGCCAGCUUGGAGCUACAGCUGACCUCCUGCCAGUAUAAUAUGUUUGAUGUGGUUAAGUAAAUAACCUGUUUCCUAGUAAUGUAUUGCUUUUGUCAGAUUUUUCUGCUGGAAAUGAGGUAAAGAGUUAAAGCCUGGGCUAGGAACUGGGAGCUCCUUUCUUUAAUUAGGAGAGCUGAAGUUUGCUUUUGGUUCAAACCAUCCAGUUCAAACAUUGUAUUUGUAAGUUCAGCAAUAUCUUUUCAAAUAAUUUAUGGUAUUGUCCCUUAGGACUUGGGUUUUUUCAAUAACAGAAAGUCUGUUAGAUUACUUUGUCUAAUCUGUGCCUUCUUUUUUAAACUUCCCUGUUCCCAUAUUUCCCUAAAGAGAACCCAGAUCUGAGAAUGACGCCACAGGUAGUAAGUGAUCUCCAGUGCUACCAUCAGGUGGGUUGGGUGGUAUUUUCAGGCAUGUUAGCACUCAGCAUGAAAACUGGGGUUUUGGUAAGUGGAAAAGCUUUACUGACCCAUCAGCAAUGCGUGUUUUAUAGCAAAACUCACAGAUCUUUGAAGCACAAGGGCUGGUUCUCAAACAUGGUGAUGCUUAGCUGCCUUAACCAUGAGGAGUGGAGUUCGUAUGAAGCUUGUUUCUAGCAACAACCUCGGUUUUCUUCCCCUGAAAUUUCACAGGGAAGGAAACCACAAGGAUCAUCGAGCCCAGCUCCUGGCCCUGCACAGGACACCCCAUUAUCCAAAUGCUUGAGCUCUCUCAGGCUUGGUGCUGUGACCACUUCCCUGCACAGCCUGUUCCAGUGCCCAAACAGGUGAAAAAUGUUUUCUAGUAUCCAACCUAAACCUCCCCUUCCACAACUUCAGACCAUUCCCUGUCACUGUCAGAGCAGAGAUCGAUGUCUGCCCCUCUUCCCCUCACAAGGAAGCUGUAACUGUAAUCUCUCCUCAGUCUUCUCCAGGCUGAACAGAGCAAGUACCCUCAGGUGUUCCUUAUAUGGCCUCCAGACCCUUUACCAUCCUUGUUGCCCUCCUUUGGGCGCUCUCUAAUAGUUUAACAUCUCCCUUCCACUGUGGCACCCAAAUCUGCCAACACUACUCAAGGCCAGCAGUAUCCUGGCUGAAACAUCAUGGAGAGCCUGUGCUCUCCGAGCAGGGGAAGUUGGGUCUGUUCUGGAAGUCAGCAGUUUCAAAUUCCUGGACACAAGUCCCAUGAAGGUAACCUAGCACAAACUGGGUGUUGUGUUCAAUAUAUUAAAGUGGUUUUAAAACAGUCCCCUUGGCCUCAGUGUUCUUCAGGGACAACUCACCCAAUCAACUUUUCAGUCUCCAAAGAAAGCGACUUUGUUAGAAGAUCUUGCUUUGAUGUUAUUUGUUCAGACUUUGUGUCUGGAACUCCUGAAACCCUUCAGAGUGCUUUCCCUUUUUGUUCCCUAGGUUUUACUGUGUCAGAUUUUUUUCCAUCUGAGUUUUUCUCAAUUCCAGUAGAAAUGUCCACCUGUUUGCUUCUCCAGUGAAUGAGUUUUCUUUCAGUUCUUGUGUCAGCCUGUCACGAGCUUCAUGCAUUGUGUCAAUUCAUUGCAUUCUCCAAUCCAUCUCAAAGUCUGUCUUCGUGUUGCAGCGCUGUCAGUUUGCUUUGGAGAAAACACUGAAAAAGUACAAAGUACAUGAUUUGGAGAUCAUAAAACAGAAAUUAUGAGUGUAAAAGCCAAUCAUAAGCACUUUAGAAAGGUCUAUCUGGUGAUUGUGCUGUGAGCAGCACCUGCAUUGUAAGUGAUAAAGAUGCUUAUCUAUUAUCCCGUUAAUUGGAAGGGCUUGGAUGAUCAGUGGCUUUGCUCAGCUCUUUCCCCAGUGAUACCUAGCUUGUGUGGGAGGUUGUGUCCAUGAUUUGCCAGUUUGAUGCUGGUCAGCACAAAGCGGCAAGUCAGCCUUUAUUGGAUGGCUGAGCACAGAAUUCUCUGUAAAUAUUUCAUCACAUAUAGUGAAUAAAGAAGGAAUAGUCUCUCCUUGCCAUAGAAUCAGUAUGCUCACAGCUACAGAAGGUAAUUUGUGGCUGCUGGACCUGUACAGAGCUAUACCCCAACUUCUUUGAUGCUUUACAUUGUGAUUUUGCUGUGUAAUGUGUAAAAGUGCAGCAGUUACCUCUGGUGUGCUUUUUGCCGCGCAGUUGAGCACCCAGGUGGGCAGCAUCCCUCCUGCCUUCUCCCUUUGCUUUCCCGGUGCGUUCAGUUUCUGUUGGGCACACCAAGUCUGAGAGGGGAAGAAAUUAGCCCUUUGUCUACUCUAAGUAUUCAUGGCUCCUCCUGGGUGCUGGUUGUGGGGUUUAUUGGUUUUGCCACAAAGCUUUAGAAUACAUUCAGUUUUUGCAUUCCCUGGUCCUCCCCACUCUAUCCAAAUUACACUGAACACUAAAGGAGAGGGAAAAAAUCAUGAAUUCUGGAGCUAAACAUCUUUGGACUUGACCUGCUGGAAGUUGUGCAGCUCUGUCUGCUCCCCACAGAGAAAAGUUCUGGUAGCCAAACUUCAGAAAGGAACAAAAUAGUUUUGCUCUUUAAAUGCCAUUAUAAAACCCCAUGAUUUCAGUGACUGGGUGGGGUGUCAUGCUGGGCACACAUUUAUCAUUGUAAAUGUUAGGUCUGAAUGGCUUUGAAAUGCUUUCAGAACGUGUGAUUUUGGGCACAUAAGCAGAUCACUUUUAUUAUAACCUUCAUGUUACACUCAAUGGGGUUGGUCAGGUGAUGUUUUUCCCUGUUCAUUUAAGUGGUUUCUUACAGAGGCCUUUGAGUUCCAGAAUAAUGUUCUGUGCAACCCCGGUAAUUACUUUAUUAUUAACUGGAAGGCCAGGUGCCCUUGUCUACCUCCCCUUUUAGGAGUGAAUCAUGUUCUGAUAUUAAAAUGACCCUAAGCUGAGAUCUCAAGUUUCCUUUCCAGCUGGACUAAUGGGGCUUGUAGGAGGGAAGCCAAACUUCCAUGACUGCUAAUUAUCCUCGAAUUGGAUUAAUAAAGGAAAAUUACUUAACUACCCAUCCAAAGAUGGAGAGUUAGCUGUACCUUUGAAAAGACUUGCCAGCUGCUAACAAGGUACAGUUGAACUGGAUUUGCCUUUUUUAAACAUACCUUGGGUAUAUCCCCUGAGCGUAUGCAGAAGGAUUCAUCUUUGUGUGUGCUGUUUUCUGGAAGGGCUCAGCAAAAUCUUAGCUGGCAAGUUGGCCACCUCAGUAGAUGUCUUUGGAGCUAAACCAAGGACUGUGUUUCCAUCUAUGAGCCUAACCCAUGACCUGUGGGAGACCAUUGGGGAUUUAUAAGUAAUUUUUAAGGGGUUUAUCUUCAGAAAAGAAAGGUGAGCUGUCUGAACUUCUGUCUUGCAAUUCUUUUCUCUUUAAGCAAUACUGUGGAUUGCUGUGGGUUUGGAAUUUUUUCCAGCCAUAAGAGCAAGCAGUGCUCAGUGCUAAAGGAGCACUUUCCAUGAUGGUGAUCCUGUGAGGGAAUUGCAUUUAAUUAUUUUAAAUUAUUGAAGCAGGCCAAAGAGUUGUGUCCAACCUCUCAAGUGACUUAGUACCCACUCUUCUUCAUAUAAUUUGAGGAGCCAAUAUCCAUGUCACUUAGGAAGGCAAGCAAGAAUUCCUGUCUUUAUAUCCUUGGCAUCUGACAGAUGCUCAGUUUUACCAUUAGCAUAGCUGAGCUACUUUAUAAAACCUCCCCAGCCUGCAUCUUCUGUCUGACACUUCCUUGGUAGUGUUGUUUAUAUAAAAAACCUGCAGCCCUUUUAUUUUUAACUCCUAUGUUAAUGGUGGGGAUGGUUAGGGAGAAAUUCCCUCUUUGCUUUUUUGCCUUUGCUGUGAAAAAAAAUAAUAAAUGUUUGUCAACCUAACAAGAUUUAAAGUCCCUCCCCUGCUCUGCAACAUUUAAUUCCUGGGGUAUCUUUGUAACUGCACUUUGUUGUGCUGAACAGAAUUUCUCAAAUAUUUUCUCUCACAUCAACUUGUGAUAAGUCUAGUCUGACCUUUUGGACUUACUGCUUGGGGCAUUGUUUAUCUGGCACUGCCUGCUUCCUUUCUCUCCCAGCCAGGAGCUGAGUAGACCUAGAAGAUGCUGGUGGUGCUUUGAGGUGGGCAUACCUGAACCUCUCACUGCAGUGAGCUAACAAAAGAAAAUGAGAAUGGCUCUUUGCAUUCAAAAAGCUUUAUUAGAAUGUCAUCUAGAAUUCUUGAAUUCAAAGCUAUGAAGAACAUUCUUAAAUAUUUAAGUGCUCUCUGCCCUUGUCCAUUAAGUCUCUUCCUCUGCAGAUCUUUUCUUCCAAUUCUUAAGUCAACCUAGACAUGUUUUGGGGGGUUAUUGCAAGCUCUGAGCUGCCCCUCUCAUCCACAGAAGAGUUGUUCCCAUGGGAUGUUCACUCCCUGCCACUCUCAGUAGGUUUUAAACCUCUCUGACGAGCCUUACGUUGCCAAGUUUGUGUUCUUGGCUCUUUCUGCUGCCAGACCACCCUCUGCUCGUGGAGCUCUGUCCUGUGCAGACUGAGGCACAACCAGCCCAGGAACCUUCAUCCUCUGCUGACUGAGCCCUGCCCACCCCAGUCUUUUGGGGUGGAGUUCCUCCUUGACCAUGGGGACUGUGUCACCUGGCACAGAACCACAGCAAAGGCUGGGGCAGGUUUGGAUGGGUCUUGCCUGGUCCCUGCCCAGCCUUCCCUGCUUCUUGCAGCUGGAGAGUUCCUUCUGUCCUCAAAAGGAAAGCCUUCCAUGGUCAUCCAAGACUCUAAAUACAGAGUGCACAAACCCACUGAGCUCAGCAGAGCUGGGAUAUUGAUUUGUGUGAGAGAAUUUUCCAUGAGCAAAGUGAAAAGCCCAUCAGUCUUUGUGUGUUUGGUGCCUGUGAUUAAAAAUUUUGGUCUUUGUAACUGUUACUGAUACAUUUCAUAUGUAGUUGGCACUGUACAAACAUCUCUUCCUGUAUCUGAUUUCCAUUUUUCUUUUAACUUACAUUUCUUUAAUCAUUAAUUUUGGUUUUUUGUGGUGUUUUUUUUUUCAUACACAGAUGUGGGAUGAUGCUUUUAUCUCUUCUCAGAAGAACUGUUGGUUCUCUCUGAGUUUCUCUGUAGGAUACCGAAUAUUUUCCUCUCUUCAAUACAGAUGAAGCUGUUGCUCUGCAACACAUUUGUUAAUUCCCAAUGAAAAACUUUUUUUUGUUAUUUUAAUAGGAGUCUUUUCUGUAAAGAUGUUGUUUAAAAGCAUGUAUUUGAAGUGAGAUUUUUAUUGUGACUGCUCCAAGAGGACCCUCAUAGCCUUGACAUCCGAAGUCUUCUAGAAGCAGCUAAGUGGGCUCUGUGUUUGAAGUGGCAGCACAAUGCAAAGAUGUAGCAGGAGGGAAAUGUAUUGUAUUAAUUCUAACAAACUUCAAGAAACUUAUAUCAAUGAAAGUUCUUCACAUCUUUGGUUCAGACAUGUCAGAUAUAAAGAGCGUUGAAAUCAAGGACAAAGAUGCCAGCAAAGGCUUGUGUAAGAUGGAGGACCCAGACCUCCUUAUGAAAGUGAGACAACUUCUCCUGGGCUUCUUUCAAAGAAAUAACAAUAAUAACAAUAAUAGUAAUCCACUCAGCAACGUCUCUGAACACAAAGGCUGAACAAGUCUCUGUCCUGUGAGACUGAAAGGAUUAUUUAAUAGGUAAUUAAACAUAGUCAAGGACAAUUGUCAUACAAGGUAGAAUCUGUGUUUGUGACUUUGGUUGCUGGCUCAGGUCAUCACUUGUCCCCAGACAGGCAGGAUCAGGUUGUCAGUGCCCAUUACAUUUAGAGAGAAAUUAUUGGCCUGCCUUGCCUGUGAGUUUGGGGGUUUUUAGCAAUAUUUGAUGUGGGUUUUUUGUGUAACAAACUUUAAAGAACACAUCUAUUAUUUGGCUGUAAAAAUUGGAACAAAUCAAGGGAACUUAGAUAUCUUCCUGUUCUCUGCUUCUAGCUGACUCAUUUUAAAACUUAGAGCUGAAGAGCUUAAGUAUUGUCUAGAAAAAUAAAUUUCCAGAGUAGAGUGGAUUUACAAAGUCACUGACUUCCAAAGAGCAUUUUCUGUCCUGUCUGUGCAAACUACUGAGAAUUUAACUGUUGCUUUUUGAUUGGUGACUGCACUACAUAUCACAGGUCUUUACAGGUCUUUUAUUAUUUAUUAAUGUCAUGCAAUAUGUAACUUAGGCUCAAUAAGUGUGAAAAUAUGAAGCACCCAUGAAACUAAGCUUUUGUUCCCAAGUGAAGAUCAGUGGAAUUGAGACAUCUCUGACGGACAAGAAUUCAUAAUCCUUUGUCUUCUAAUUCUUUAUUGAAAUCUUCCUGGUUUCCAGGAUUUCUUUGUAUUUAGUUAUGUUUGAAUCAAUUUGCCUCUAUAGUGAUCCUUCAAAAAAAAACCUAAAACCCCAAAGCCAACACAACAACAACAAAAAAAACCCAUCUCCAAACCCAGCUUCUUUUGUAAAACUAAUUUCUGAUCAUCUACUGCUAUCACAUCUGUUUAUCAUCUUGAGAAAUUUUUACAUGAGCAUCUAGAACAUUGAUAAAAUGUUAAAUAAUAUUGAGCCAAGAGUUAAUCUCUGGGGAAAUCUGCUGGGAAAAGCCCCACCAAUUCCUAUCUCCCACUAAUGUGAUUACAUGAAGUUGCCUUUUGAUAUCAGUGUUUGCAAUUUUAACAUUAAUGUCCAACAAUAAAGUUGUACCUGACACUUGGGA